UACGGAGGGGGCUAGCGUUGUUCGGAAUUACUGGGCGUAAAGCGUGCGCAGGCGGUGAUGUAAGACAGUUGUGAAAUCCCCAGCUUAACCUGGGAACUGCAUCCGAUACUGGAUGGCUUGAAUCCGGGAGAGGGAUGCAGAAUUCCAGGUGUAGCGGUGAAAUGCGUAGAUAUCUGGAGGAAUACCGGUGGCGAAGGCGGCAUCCUGGACCGGCAUUGACGCUGAUGAGCGAAAGCUAGGGGAGCAAACGGG
rnacentral:rRNA from 1 species